rnacentral:tRNA from 1 species
GUCAGGAUGGCCGAGCGGUCUAAGGCGCCAGACUCAAGGUUGUCACCUUACCCGUCUAAAACGGGUGUUAGAGGAUUCUGGUCCUCUCUGAGGGCGUGGGUUCGAAUCCCACUUCUGACA